rnacentral:rRNA from 1 species
UACAGAGGGUGCAAGCGUUAAUCGGAAUUACUGGGCGUAAAGGGUGCGUAGGUGGUUAAAUAAGUUAGGUGUGAAAGUCCUGGGCUUAACCUGGGGACUGCGCCUAAUACUGUUUAGCUAGAGUACUGUAGAGGAAGGUGGAAUUUCCAGUGUAGCGGUGAAAUGCGUAGAUAUUGGAAGGAACAUCUGUGGCGAAGGCGACCUUCUGGACAGAUACUGACACUGAGGCACGAAAGCGUGGGGAGCAAACAGG